GCGUGGCUGCAGGAGAGGGGUGCUGCAUUGGAGUGCAAGGCAAGGCUUUCGGAAAGCAGAGAAGGGAAGGAGGGUGACAGCCAGGUGCAGGCUGAGAGGAGGACAGGCACAGCAGGAUGCACAGAAGCCCACAAGCAGGAUGGAGCCUGUGCUCUCCAGGAACCAAAGCAGGCCAGCCGGCCUGGAGCUGAGAUACAGCCAUGCCAUAAGCGAGCCUCCUCUGCCAUGCCACCCUGCCUUGGAGCCAGCUGACUAUGGACUGAAACCUCUACAAACUGGUCUUGCUAUGUAGCCCAGACUGGUGUCAAACUUUCAAUCCUCCUGCCUCGGACACCCAAGAGGUGGCAUCACACGUGUGCACCACCAUACCUGGCUUAAACCAAGGCUCUUUCUGCAACACUUUACCAUGAUGCCAGCUGUCACGUGGUGCACCUGUCUGUCCCACACGAUCUCCACCACAGAGGCCCAGCCACCUGCUCCCCACUAGGGACAGACGCUCUGCUUCAAGGCUGAUCCAGGGCUUUCCUGCAGCUCUAGAGAUCUUGAUGCCAAUGUCAGUGGGAAUCAAUUGAGCCCCAAGGGUAAUUUGCCUUCCUAAAAAGCAUUCUGCCCCUUCCAGAUAUAAAAGCAAAAUCAACUCUAGACCCAGAAUCCAGGCAUCAUGUCUUGCCACCCUCACUAUGCAGGAAAACAUUCAGUGUUGGUUAUGCAUUUGUACCUUUGAACCAUAGAUUUCUAGACUUUUUGGUGGGAUUUUUGGGGAGGGGGGUUCACACAGCUAUGUCCCCAGCCCUUUAAAAAUUAAACAAAACAAAUUUUUUUUUCUUGGAGACAAGGUCUUUCUAAGUAACUAAAUUGCCCAGGCUAGACUUGAACUUGCGAUCCUCCUGCCUCAGCCGCCCAGAGUGCUGGGAUUAUAGGUGUGCACUACCACACUUGGCUAGCUUUUCAGUUGUGAGUAAUACCACCCUCACAAGACUCCUAUAAGUACUAAAGAAUGAGAAUGUGCCGUGCAAAUAAAGGGCAUCAA